CUCCACUGCAUACAAGACCCACCCGGUGUACAGCUGUACACCGAGACCGGCAAAAUCACGCCACGCCUUGGUUUAUCUCUGCGCACGGGGCUCCACAUCCUUGGAGUCAUUCCACCUCAACCGGUACCAGGGCAAAUGCAAUGCAUUUCCAGGCAUUCCUACUGGAUGGACCGAUGAGGUGGAACGAGGACCGUGCGCAGGCAGCAGUGGAGGGAAAGAACAGGCAGCCCCUGCUCUCCUACAGUGGCCACCUGCAGCACAUCCUUAACCUUAGCAGCCAAAGGGUGCUUGGCAAGGAACAGGGUAAGGACUACUCCAAGCCUAGCGAGUACACGGGGUAACUCCUCGGAGUGGAGUACCUGUACUCGCAGACUGGCAGAGUGCUGCAGGAUGUCAGCGUGGACCCUGGCCUUCCGGAAGAGGCAGCCGCCGUCGCCCAGCUCGACGAGGAGGACGAGGGCUUUCAGGAGGAUGUGGACCCGACAAUCCACAUCCCUCAUGUCACUCAUAUGAGCGCCCCGUCCUCCAGCUCAGCGGCACCUCUGUCAGGGGAACCCGCUGACGCAUCCAGGUCUGGGCCAUCCAGUCCCACCGCCCCUGAAGACGGAAGCUCUCCUGAGGCCCCUGAUCGACACGGUUCUCCUCACCCUGACAACUCCUCUGAUUGAGGGGGAGACGCAAGGCCCUAAUGCAAUGCCUGGCUACCAGCAUGUCCGCAGGCUUGCCAGGGCCUUGGUGGGGGUGAGGAACCGUCAGGGGCUGUCGGACCGCAGGGUAGACGGUCUGGUGGCGCUGUGGCUGGCGCUUGAUCUACCCUGCCCGACACCAGGAGAGGAUCGUUCAGGGGCGGUUCAAGGCAACGAAGGGGAAGUCGUCCAUUGUCAUAGGAAAAGACUCUCUCUAAUGUUGCCUUCUUGGACUCAACUUGGGCCCUGCAAAUUGGCCGGGCACCAGCCGUUUGGUGGAGGCCAUUUGCAGUCAGCUCUGCCAAAUCCAUCCCAGCGCCAUCAGCCUACUUUAUGAUACAGAAUGCAGGGAUGUGUAGUGAACCUGUACCCAUAAUAAAACAAAG